rnacentral:rRNA from 1 species
UACGAAGGGGGCUAGCGUUACUCGGAAUUACUGGGCGUAAAGGGCGCGUAGGCGGCGCUCCAAAGUUAGGCGUGAAAGUCCUGGGCUCAACCUGGGAACUGCGCUUGAUACUGGAGUGCUUGAGGAUGGAAGAGGGUCGUGGAAUUCCCAGUGUAGAGGUGAAAUUCGUAGAUAUUGGGAAGAACACCGGUGGCGAAGGCGGCGACCUGGUCCAUUACUGACGCUGAGGCGCGACAGCGUGGGGGAGCAAACAGG